CCAAAGGCUCUUUUCAGAGCCAUCAUUUUCUCUGUCAGGUGACGG
rfam:Homo sapiens chromosome X, GRCh38 reference primary assembly.